GGAGUCGGCCAGACAGUCGCCGCCGGCAUUGCCGGGGGAGGAAAGUCCGGGCUCCAUAGGGCAAGGUGCCAGGUAACGCCUGGGCGGCGCAAGCCGACGGCUAGUGCAGCAGAGAGUAGACCGCCUAAGCAGCGAUUCGCUGCCGGUAAGGGUGAAAGGGUGCGGUAAGAGCGCACCGCGCGCCUGGUAACAGUGCGUGGCACGGUAAACCCCACCUGGAGCAAGACCAAAUAGGGAUCCUUUGGCGCGGCCCGCGCUGGAUCCGGGUAGGUUGCUUGAGAAACGUGGCGACGCGUUUCCUAGAUGAAUGACUGUCUUAGACAGAACCCGGCUUAUCGGCCGGCUCCCUCU
rfam:Salinicola sp. MIT1003 NODE_7_length_173353_cov_70.2623_ID_13, whole genome shotgun sequence.